rnacentral:rRNA from 1 species
AUUGAACGCUGGCGGCAUGCCUUACACAUGCAAGUCGAACGGUAACAGGUCUUCGGAUGCUGACGAGUGGCGAACGGGUGAGUAAUACAUCGGAACGUGCCUAGUAGUGGGGGAUAACUACUCGAAAGAGUGGCUAACACCGCAUGAGAUCUACGGAUGAAAGCAGGGGAUCGCAAGACCUUGUGCUACUAGAGCGGCCGAUGGCAGCUUAGGUAGUUGGUGGGAUAAAAGCUUACCAAGCCGACGAUCUGUAGCUGGUCUGAGAGGACGAUCCGCCACACUGGGACUGCGACACGGCCCAGACUCCUACGGGAGGCAGCAGUGGGGAAUUUUGGACAAUGGGCGAAAGCCUGAUCCAGCAAUGCCGCGUGCAGGAUGAAGGCCUUCGGGUUGUAAACUGCUUUUGUACGGAACGAAAAGCCCUGGGUUAAUACCCUGGGGUCAUGACGGUACCGUAAGAAUAAGCACCGGCUAACUACGUGCCAGCCGCCGCGGUAA